rnacentral:tRNA from 1 species
GGCACAGUGCCUGAGUGGUUAAAGGGUGUGACUCGAAUCUCCGACCACCGUCCCCUCCCCCCCAAGGGAAGGACCCGACGCCGUCGAGAUAAAUCAGAUAUCACAUGGCUUCGGCCGCGCAAGUUCGAAUCUUGUCUGUGUCG